UGGUACAUCAUUGUCAGUAAAUGGAGAUCCAGUUGUUAAACAGAAAAAACCUAAGCCCAAAAGGAACCCAAAAUGAACCAGAGUCUGAUCAUAGAUUACAAAAAGUGUUUGCUGUCUGAAAAGAGCUUGUAAGUGGAGCAGAGAGACAGAGUUCUCAGUUGCUCAAAAGAGAGCUGGAAAUGGAUAAGGUAUUUAUAGUUUCUGGAGGCUUUCAGUAGAGAGUGAAGGUUAAGGGAAAAGAUGCCUGUAGACAUAAUAUGUCAGGAAGCAGGAUGUUUGACAAGUCUGAAGUCUGUAGCUGCUGCUCAAAGUUGUUUUUGAGCUGAUUAAGGCUGGUUCUGUGGUUUUUAGAAGCUGCAGGCAUCUCCAAAUUGGGCUAAAGUUCCCUUACAGAAUUAUUCACCUCGGAGCAACAGGAGGUAUAACUACUCACAUACACACACACACACACACACACACACACACACACACACCUUUUUUCAUCUAAUAGUCAUCCACAACUACAUUUGUGAAAGUAUUAAGGUCUGUAGGACUUGGAGUGUCUUGCCAGUCUAUUGAGUUAAAAUUUCUUAGGCAGAUGUGAGGUUUGAAAAAGUACAUUGAUGAUAGUUAAAACCUCCCCAAUGGGAGGCUGGUAGAUAAAUGUGAUGUGUAAUGUGAAUUGAGAAUUUUUUCAGUGACUUUGGGAAAUGUAGACAGUUAAAAGGAAUUUCAGACAGACUUCUCUUAACUUAAUGAAUUCUACUGUGGCCACAAUCGCUUUUAGAUAGCUUGGUAGUAUUUGAUCACUGCCUCCGGUAUCCUGCUAUAAUAACCAAUGAGUCAGUGAUUAUAGCCAUGUUUCUGGGUGAGAACCUCCAGUACAUUCCCCACUUCCCUCUUCUUCUUUUUUAAAGGCAAAUAAGACAAAGGAGAGGAAGUAGUUAGGGAGUACAGUGGUAGGAAUGUAAAGGACACUAAUUUGAGGGUCUCAAAAACAGCAAGAGAUUCAGUUUUUAGUAAGAAAGGGUCAAGGGAGAUAUCAUUUAGGGCAUCAUAAAAGAUCUGGUGGUGGGGAUGGAUGAAAACUCAAAGGUUCACUGGGGACAAUAGCCACUCAGUCCAAGGAAGGCUUAGAGCUUCCACUUGAUGGAUGGUACAGGAAAACUGCAGAACAGCCUCAAGGCAAGUUGUGUCAAGUAAGACACCAGAAGGAUCUGGUGUCCAAGAAAAUGAAUAGAUGGGUAUCAUAGUUACGGAAGUAGAAGAGGAGGUCAUCAGCAUAUUGUAGGAGAGUGGAACCUCAAAACAUGAGGGAAGCAAAGUCUUGCCAUAAAACUUGGUGAAAGCAAGAAGGGGAAUUGGCAGACCCCUAGGGACAAUGGUCCAGGUUUGUGAACAGGAGUGUUCCAGGAGCUUGUGCAAACAACCAAAAGGCCUUGAAAAAGGCAGUUGUCAAUAUGUAGGUGGACUUCAGCAAAAGCUUCUCAGCUGAGAGGAUAUUCAUGGAUAAAGAGGAGUCACUCUGGACAAUAAUAAGGGGGAAUCACCAGAGACACUUUUCAAUAUUUGUUGAAUCUAUUUCCCAGAGAGAACAAAACAGCUCCACAAAAACAGGAAAGGAAGUCUAGACUCAAAAAAUGGUCAGAGAGGAGUCAGAAGCCAGAAAAGGGCAGGGGAGAAGGGAGGAAGAAGAAGAGAUUAUUAGAUCACCAAGGAAAAAAGGUAAAAGGUUCAAAAACACCAAUCAUAAAUGGUGCAUUAUAACCCCCCACAAGGGAGAAACAAUGGAAAAAUGGUGGGGUUGAGAACUAAGAAUAUGGUGCCAGAAUCAAUGAGUGCAGAAAUGUGAAGACUAUAAAUUGCAAUGGGGACAUCUCCAGGCAUAACAGAACGGAUCUAUCUAUCCUGUUGUUAUAAACCAAUGUUCAGUUUCUCCAAUCCUCACCAAAUCUUGGCAUAGAUGAAAUAAGUCAGAAACAUCAAGUUUAUAUACAUGGAGAAUAACUUUAAGUUGCAUGGAAAAUCCCAGGGGAUCUGCAAGAACCUUUGGGAUUUCAUUUCCUAAUGAGACCAGUUCUGAUCUACUCCAGGGGGUAUAUCUGUAAUUAAUAGUCGGGUCUC